AUGAGAACUGAGCCAAUGCACUGGGCUAGGGCCUUUUUCCCAGUUGGUUCAAACUGUGUGUCAGUUGACAACAACCUUUGUGAGUCAUUCAACCAUGCAAUAGCUGAUGCUAGGUUUUAUCCUAUUAUUUCUAUGAAUGAGAAAAUUAGGAAGAAAGUGCUAGUGACAAUUCAAGAACAGAGAGAGAAGGGUGCCAAAUUUACAUGGAAAAUAUGCCUGCGGUGUUUAAGAAGCUCAAGAAAAUUAUUGCAAGAACACAAUAUCUACAGGUGCUCUAGAAUGGAGAAGAUGGAUUUUAAGUGA
rnacentral:rRNA from 1 species